GGAGGAAUACCCAAGUCCGGCUGAAGGGAUCGGUCUUGAAAACCGACAGGAGCUUAACGGCUCGCGGGGGUUCGAAUCCCUCUUCCUCCGC
rnacentral:tRNA from 2 species